AUGGCGGCUCCGGCUGACCAAGCUAGCAGCAAGCACUUCGUUCUGGUGCACGGUGUAUGCGUCGGCGGCUGGGCCUGGUUCAAGGUGGCCACGCGGCUCAGGGACGCCGGGCACCGCGUGAGCACGCCUGACCUCGCGGCGUCGGGUGUGGACCCCAGGCCGCUGCGCGAGGUGCCGACGUUCCGCGACUACAGCAAGCCGCUGCUGGACCUCCUGUUGUCCGUCCCGCCCGGGGAGAAGGUGGUGCUCGUCGGCCACAGCUUUGGUGGCGUGAGCAUCGCCCUCGCCUGCGAACUGUUCCCGGAGAAGGUCGCCGCUGCGGUGUUCGUCUCCGCCUUCAUGCCGGAUCACAGGUCGCCGCCGUCGUACAUGCUUGAAAAGUACAAGAAGCGGAGAAUGGACUGGAUGGACAUGGAGUUUAAGCCUCAAGAUCCUGAGGGCAAGCUGCCUAUUUCCAUCCGGUUCGGGCCGCUGGUCACCCGAGCAAAGUUCUACCAGCUGUGCUCGCCGGAGGACCUGACGCUGGGAAGAUCCCUGAUGAGGGUCGGCUCGAUGUUCGUGGACGACCUGAAACUGCAGCCACCGUACACGGAGGCUCGCUACGGGUCUGUGCGCAAGGUGUUCAUCGUCCUCAAGGACGACAACGCCAUCUUCGAGGGGUUCCAGCGGUGGAUGGUGCAGAACUACCCCGUGGACGAGGUCAGGGAAAUCCACGGCGCGGACCACAUGGCGUUGCUCUCGACGCCGGCCGAGGUAGCGCACUGCCUCGCCGACAUCGCUGUCAAGUAUGCUGCCUGA
rnacentral:rRNA from 1 species